UCCUGACUGACCGAUAGUGAACCAGUACCGUGAGGGAAAGGCGAAAAGAACCCCGGCGAGGGGAGUGAAAUAGAACCUGAAACCGUGUACGUACAAGCAGUGGGAGCAUCCUUCGGGGUGUGACUGCGUACCUUUUGUAUAAUGGGUCAGCGACUUAUAUUCUGUAGCAAGGUUAACCGCAUAGGGGAGCCGCAGGGAAACCGAGUCUUAACUGGGCGUUAAGUUGCAGGGUAUAGACCCGAAACCCGGUGAUCUAGCCAUGGGCAGGUUGAAGGUUGGGUAACACUAACUGGAGGACCGAACCGACUAAUGUUGAAAAAUUAGCGGAUGACUUGUGGCUGGGGGUGAAAGGCCAAUCAAACCGGGAGAUAGCUGGUUCUCCCCGAAAGCUAUUUAGGUAGCGCCUCGUGAAGUCAUCUUCGGGGGUAGAGCACUGUUUCGACUAGGGGGCCAUCCCGGCUUACCAACUCGAUGCAAACUGCGAAUACCGAAGAAUGUUAUCACGGGAGACACACGGCGGGUGCUAACGUCCGUCGUGAAGAGGGAAACAACCCAGACCGCCAGCUAAGGUCCCAAAGUCAUGGUUAAGUGGGAAACGAUGUGGGAAGGCCCAGACAGCCAGGAUGUUGGCUUAGAAGCAGCCAUCAUUUAAAGAAAGCGUAAUAGCUCACUGGUCGAGUCGGCCUGCGCGGAAGAUGUAACGGGGCUAAACCAUGCACCGAAGCUGCGGCAGCGACGCUUAGGCGUUGUUGGGUAGGGGAGCGUUCUGUAAGCCUGCGAAGGUGGCCUGUGAGGGCUGCUGGAGGUAUCAGAAGUGCGAAUGCUGACAUAAGUAACGAUAAUGCGGGUGAAAAACCCGCACGCCGGAAGACCAAGGGUUCCUGUCCAACGUUAAUCGGGGCAGGGUGAGUCGACCCCUAAGGCGAGGCCGAAAGGCGUAGUCGAUGGGAAACAGGUUAAUAUUCCUGUACUUGGUGUUACUGCGAAGGGGGGACGGAGAAGGCUGGGUUAUCCGGGCGACGGUUGUCCCGGUUUAAGCGUGUAGGUGGGUGUUUUUGGUAAAUCCGGAACACCGUUAACACUGAGGCGUGACGACGAGUCACUACGGUGAUGAAGUAACCGAUGCCAAGCUUCCAGGAAAAGCCUCUAA
rnacentral:rRNA from 1 species